rnacentral:lncRNA from 1 species
CGAAAACGUACUAACAGUAAUAGUCUGGGUUGUAAAUUUAUUCGCCAUUUGCAUUGCUAGGGUAAGGCUAAACUAGCAUUUUUUAAAUACUUACAGCGGUGAACAGAACACGCGCGAAAAUGAACAUGUUCUGUAUGUACGAAUUCUUUUCGUCAAUGUGGCCAUCACCAUUCUUCCGCGUAUGAUCUAUUCGUCGCCGUACGUAUUCGAGAGAAAAAAAAAAGAAAACGUUAGUGUAACCUUACCCUUAAGGGCGCCAAUUAUCUCUAGUACGCACGCGUGCAUCUUCUAACAGUCUAAAACCGGUCCUGCCCAUAACGUAAACAGUGUCGGUACCAAAAAAACAAAUAUUUGACAGUGAAUGGCUGGAUAGUGUGGGUCGGUCGGGCCUAACCAUGCCGGCUUUUAAUAUUACAAUACUUGUAAAGAGUGAAUAUACAAUAUAAGAUUUUUUGAUACGAAGAUUUGAAAUAUCUUGUGUAUUUGUCGAGAAACGAACCCAGAAUGGAAAACCUGUUUUGCCAUAAUUAUUUGGAACUGUUUUGACGUUUUAUAUAAAAGAAAUAAUCAGAUAGUCACAUCGUGUGAAUUUAUUGAAAAUAUAACGAAAAUCUACAUGGUCAUAGCACCAACAAUUAAGUUUGAAUUCUUGUGGGAUUUAAAAUUACGUAAAAGCCCUAAAUUGAGGAACUGUACCAUUAGUUCCUCUAAUUUUUUACAAGAAAAUUUGUACCCACCAAUUUUGGAAGCUCGGAAUCCUAAAUUUUAUAUACAAAAUUAAAUGAAUCACUUGGAAAUUGGUACGAAUCUAAGACUAUCCAAAGAUUGGGAAGCGGUUUCCCUAUUUUUCACUUGGCUGUGGAAAUUUAUCCCUUUAUCAAUAAUUUAUUCGAGACUUGUUAAUAAAAUGAAAAAAUUAAUUACCAGGAAAACAAUUUUUUCAUACUUUUUAGUUCUUAAUUAUCUCUUAGUAAAAAUUUCAUUAAUUUUCCAUUACUUCACUUUUCUAAUAACUUCUCUAAAUAAGAUGACUACCAACAAUCUCG